rnacentral:rRNA from 1 species
AGGACGAACGCUGGCGGCGUGCUUAACACAUGCAAGUCGAGCGGUAAGGCCUUUCGGGGUACACGAGCGGCGAACGGGUGAGUAACACGUGGGUGAUCUGCCCUGCACUUCGGGAUAAGCCUGGGAAACUGGGUCUAAUACCGGAUAUGACCUCCUAUCGCAUGGUGGGUGGUGGAAAGAUUUAUCGGUGCAGGAUGGGCCCGCGGCCUAUCAGCUUGUUGGUGGGGUAAUGGCCUACCAAGGCGACGACGGGUAGCCGACCUGAGAGGGUGACCGGCCACACUGGGACUGAGACACGGCCCAGACUCCGUACGGGAGGCAGCAGGUGGGGAAUAUUGCACAAUGGGACGAAAGCCUGAUGCAGCGACGCCGC